rnacentral:lncRNA from 1 species
GGUGCACGAGUGGCCGUCUGUGCCAUGUCUGCCUUGCAUUUGAUUCCAGCAGUUACCAAGCUAAACUAGAGAAAGAAAUAGCUUUGUUGUGGAUUGCAUUGUCGAGCCAUUUUCGUGUCCUGAUACCGCAUAAACGAUCACCUGAUCGCUGGAUCGAUUGGAGUCCCUGAGCCUGAUGGGAGGAAUUUGAUGGAUCAUUCCUUCAUGGGACUGAGUAUUCUAAGAUCAUUCCCUGUAUGCAAAUAAUCUAGUAUGGGUCCCUGUAAUUGUUCUUACCUAAUACAGGAGGGAGCUUCUCUUGUGAAGGCUGAUAUUGAUCUUUUUAGGUAGUUCCUAGUUAAAAGAACCCAAAGUAAUGAAAAAUAUAUUGCUAGUAAUAAUUUCUCCGAAUACUCACAGACAGCUAAUACAGCUGUUCCUCUUCAAGAUAUGACUACCUGCUGAGAGGCCCCGGAGCUAUUCCGGAGACUAUGCCCUAUCCUGCACAUCAUCACCUGCAGCUGGUUCCAGGCUCCAAGGAUGAAUUGGUGGGAAUGGACUCCCACCCCCCUCCCGCCCCCUUUUAUAAAGCAUGUCCACUAUUAAAAAUUUGAACCUUGA